GCAAGUCGAACGAAGUAGCAAUACUUAGUGGCAGACGGGUGAGUAACAUGUAGGUAUCUGCCCUUUGGCCUGGAAUAACACGAGGAAACUUGUGCUAAUACCGGAUAAGUCUUUACAGAGAAAGCUUUGUGCACCAUUGGAUGAGCCUGCACUUGAUUAGUUUGUUGGUGGGGUAAUGGCCUACCAAGACUGUGAUCAAUAGCUGAUUUGAGAGGAUGAUCAGCCACAUUGGGACUGAGACACGGCCCAAACUCCUACGGGAGGCAGCAGUGGGGAAUCUUGCACAAUGGAGGAAACUCUGAUGCAGCGAUGCCGCGUGAGUGAAGAAGGCCUUUGGGUUGUAAAGCUCUUUCGUCGGGGAAGAAAAUGACUGUACCCGAAUAAGAAGGUCCGGCUAACUUCGUGCCAGCAGCCGCGGUAAUACGAAGGGACCUAGCGUAGUUCGGAAUUACUGGGCUUAAAGAGUUCGUAGGUUGUUGAAAAAGUUGGUGGUGAAAUCCCAGAGCUUAACUCUGGAACUGCCAUCAAAACUUUUCAGCUAGAGUAUGAUAGAGGAAAGCAGAAUUUCUAGUGUAGAGGUGAAAUUCGUAGAUAUUAGAAAGAAUACCAAUUGCGAAGGCAGCUUUCUGGAUCAUUACUGACACUGAGGAACGAAAGCAUGGGUAGCGAAGAGGAUUAGAUACCCUCGUAGUCCAUGCCGUAAACGAUGUGUGUUAGACGUUGGAAAUUUAUUUUCAGUGUCGCAGCGAAAGCGAUAAACACACCGCCUGGGGAGUACGACCGCAAGGUUAAAACUCAAAUGAAUUGACGGGGACCCGCACAAGCAGUGGAGCAUGUGGUUUAAUUCGAAGAUACGCGCAGAACCUUACCAACACUUGACAUGUUCGUCGCGACUUUAAGAGAUUAAAGUUUUCGGUUCGGCCGGACGAAACACAGGUGCUGCAUGGCUGUCGUCAGCUCGUGUCGUGAGAUGUUGGGUUAAGUCCCGCAACGAGCGCA
rnacentral:rRNA from 1 species